AGUCGUAACAAGGUUUCCGUAGGUGAACCUGCGGAAGGAUCAUUACAGAAUGAAAAGUGCUUAACUGCAUUUUUUCUUACACAUGUGUUUUUCUUUUUUUGAAAACUUUGCUUUGGUAGGCCUUCUAUAUGGGGCCUGCCAGAGAUUAAACUCAACCAAAUUUUAUUUAAUGUCAACCGAUUAUUUAAUAGUCAAAACUUUCAACAACGGAUCUCUUGGUUCUCGCAUCGAUGAAGAACGCAGCGAAAUGCGAUAAGUAAUAUGAAUUGCAGAUAUUCGUGAAUCAUCGAAUCUUUGAACGCACAUUGCGCCCUUUGGUAUUCCAAAGGGCAUGCCUGUUUGAGCGUCAUUUCUCCCUCAAACCCUCGGGUUUGGUGUUGAGCGAUACGCUGGGUUUGCUUGAAAGAAAGGCGGAGUAUAAACUAAUGGAUAGGUUUUUUCCACUCAUUGGUACAAACUCCAAAACUUCUUCCAAAUUCGACCUCAAAUCAGGUAGGACUACCCGCUGAACUUAAGCAUAUCAAUAA
rnacentral:misc_RNA from 1 species